rnacentral:lncRNA from 1 species
GAGAAAUUUGGAAGAUAGGUUAAAAGAGCAUGAGCAUAAUAUAAAAGGAGGAUCGAUGAACACGGCACUUGCUAGGAGAGCGUAUGAACAUAAUAUUAGAGUGGACUGGAAAGACGCCAAAGUAGUUAAAAAAACAAGAGAUAGAAAAGAGUUAUAUACAGCGGAGAGCUUGAGGAUAUGGGAGGGAAGUAGGAAUGGUGAGGUCAUUAAUGAAAGGCAAUCUGUAGAUUUGCCUCUACCUUGGAAAUAUGUAGUGAAACAAGUGGGACCAAGUAGAAGUGAAGAGGUAAGAAAUAAAGGUGAAAAUAUGAGGAUGUACGAGGUGUUAAGGAUCGCAAUACGCAAUGAUUAAUAAAACAGGAAAAACAGAUAUAGGCUGUGCAAAUAAUAUUUUUAGUAAGAAAUAUAUAGUUUAUAAGUAAAUAAGAUUUAGUUUAGCUGCAAACAAAUUAAUGUUGUGACCUUGGGCUAAUUAUUUAAAAUUUCGUCAUACGAUUCUUUUAUGUGAUG